rnacentral:sRNA from 1 species
CGAAGGGACCGUCUCUGCCAAGCGCCUGUUGGUAGGAACCUGCUUGGUCGCGUCUGAGGGGGCUUGUAGGUGGCUCUGGCUGAAGCAGGCGCCUGGGAGAGUCUGUAGGAGGGAAACCGCCAUGGACGAUCAGGGUUGCCCUCGGUGUAAGACCACCAAAUAUCGGAACCCCUCCUUGAAGCUGAUGGUGAAUGUGUGCGGACACACGCUGUGGAUGAUUCAAGAGAGAGACAAACAGAAGCCGCGAUGUCUUCCAUGAACAUCAUUCAGCACCAUCGUUUCUGCUGCAUUCUGUUUGUUCAGAGUCCUAAAUACAGCUCACAUUCAGAGGAAGGGGAAUUGGGCUUCACCUUUUGAUGAAAGAAGUAUAAAGAAUUUGUGGCCGUAUGUAAAACCACACCAACCACAUAUGUAUGUUUAUCACUGGAAUACCUUGAAUCCAAGAGGGCUCCCAAUGAUUCUUGUCUCCUACUUUUUAUGUCCUUGCUUAGUUUCUCCCUGAUUGUAUCAGGGUUGCUUGUAUAACCAAUCGAAUAUGGUAGAAGUUUCUCAUUUCCAAGGCUAGGUCUUUAACAAAGACUUUGUGGCUUUCCAUGUGGUUGCUCUCUAUG